rnacentral:rRNA from 1 species
AUUGAACGCUGGCGGCAGGCCUAACACAUGCAAGUCGAGCGAGUGGCGGACGGGUGAGUAAUGUCUGGGAAUCUGCCUGAUGGAGGGGGAUAACUACUGGAAACGGUGGCUAAUACCGCAUACUAUCGGAUGAACCCAUAUGGGAUUAGCUAGUGGGUGGGGUAACGGCUCACCUAGGCGACGAUCCCUAGCUGGUCUGAGAGGAUGAUCAGCCACACUGGAACUGAGACACGGCCCAGACUCCUACGGGAGGCAGCAGUGGGGAAUAUUGCACAAUGGGCGCAAGCCUGAUGCAGCCAUGCCGCGUGUAUGAAGAAGGCCUUAGGGUUGUAAAGUACUUUCAGCGGGGAGGCGUUACCCGCAGAAGAAGCACCGGCUAACUCCGUGCCAGCAGCCGCGGUAAUAC